rnacentral:lncRNA from 1 species
GGGUGAGGGAGAAGACAUCCAUAUCUGUGAACCAGUUCGGUUUCAUGCCGGGUCUCUCCACUACAGAAGCUAUCCACCUUGUCAGGAGGCUGGUGGAGCUGUUCAGGGAUAAGAAGAAGGACAUGCACAUGGUGCUUAUCGACUUGGAGAAGGCGUAUGACAAGGUUCCAAGGAAGGUGCUAUGGAGGUGCUUAGAGGCGAAGAGCGUGCCAGAAGCAUACAUCAGAGUAAUUAAGGACAUGUACGAUGGGGCUAAGACUAGGGUUAGGACGGUCGCUCCAUUACAGAGCGGGUGAUCGAGGUGAGGGUAAGGGAGAUGACAUCUAUAUCUAUGAACCAGUUCGGUUUCAUGCUGGGUCGCUCCACUACAGAAGCUAUCCACCUUGUCAGGAGGCUGGUGGAGCAGUUCAGGGAUAAUAAGAAGGACAUGCACAUGGUGCUUAUCGACUUGGAGAACGCGUAUGACAAGGUCCCAAGGGAGGUACUAUGGAGGUGCUUGAAGGCGAAGAGCGUGCCAGAAGCCUACAUCAGAGUAAUUAAGGACAUGUACGAUGGAGCUAAGACUAGGGUUAGGACGGUGGGUGGCGACCCAGACCAUUUUCCAGUGGUUAUGGGGCUCCAUCAAGGAUCGGCGCUUAGCCCUCUCUUGUUUGCCUUGGUGAUGGAUGCUCUAACCCGACAUAU